GUUCCACUUUGACCUGGCUCCCACUCAGAGGGUGAUCCUUCAUCGCAAGUUUGUUGCUACAAACAUUAGAUCUUCCGAGGGAAGGCAGUCCUGAGGGGCUGUGCUCUUCAUUUGCAGACUCUUGGUACCUAAGCUGAUCUAUCCUCAUAUAGGAGUCAUAUAAUCCGUCUCCAAACCUGGCUGCACCGAGCGGCGCCUCCGGCUUCCUGCCCAGCAGCAUGGUGGCGGAGGGAGGCGGCCCCCAUCCCCCGUCGCGCCGCCGCCGCCGCCGCCCCGCACCUCCGGCCUCGCCGCCGCCGUCCAGCGCUGCCGCGGCGGGCAGCCAGGCUGCGGCCGCCCGCAACUGCC
rnacentral:lncRNA from 1 species